rnacentral:tRNA from 1 species
ACCAGGUUCCCCGAGAGGUUAAGGCGUUGGUCUUAAGAUCCAAUGGACAAAUGUCCUCAUGGGUUCGAACCUCACUCCUGGUA